GAUGAACGCUGGCGGCGUGCCUAAUACAUGCAAGUCGAGCGAACAGAUCAGGAGCUUGCUCCUUUGACGUUAGCGGCGGACGGGUGAGUACCACGUGGAUAACCUACCUUUAAGACUGGGAUAACUUCGGGAAACCGGAGCUAAUACCGGAUAACAUAUUGAACCGCAUGGUUCCAUAGUGAAAGGCGGCUUUGCUGUCACUUAUAGAUGGAUCCGCGCCGUAUUAGCUAGUUGGUAAGGUAACGGCUUACCAAGGCAACGAUACGUAGCCGACCUGAGAGGGUGAUCGGCCACACUGGAACUGAGACACGGUCCAGACUCCUACGGGAGGCAGCAGUAGGGAAUCUUCCGCAAUGGGCGAAAGCCUGACGGAGCAACGCCGCGUGAGUGAUGAAGGUCUUCGGAUCGUAAAACUCUGUUAUCAGGGAAGAACAAAUGUGUAAGUAACUGUGCACAUCUUGACGGUACCUGAUCAGAAAGCCACGGCUAACUACGUG
rnacentral:rRNA from 1 species